GAAUGCUCCAAUGGCUUAAGUGGUUAGAGCAUUUGCUUUAGAUGCAGGAGGUCACUGGUUCAAACCCCAGUCAAGUCUUCA